CAGCUACUCAGGAGGCUGAGGCAGGAGAAUCACUUGAAUCUGGGAGGCAGAGGUCACAGUGAGCCAGAGAUCGUGCCAAUGCACUCCAGCCUGGGCACCAAGAGCAAAACUCUGUCUCAGAAAAAAUUAGUACAAUUAGUACAAUAAUAUACUACUCAUUUAAUUUUAAAUAAAAUUAAACAUGUUUUCUUCUCAUGAUAAUGCAGAUUACUCUGAACACCUACCUGAUGCAUCACUCAAUAUUAUAGGUUAUAAGAGCCUCUCCACUUAGAUUUUUAUUAUGCAUCUUACAUUUUAAUGUCUUUACUUUUCUAUAGAAGAGGUAAUAAACAACACCCCCCUAAUAAAAAAGAAUGCCUUGCCAGGCAUGGUGGCUCACACCUGUAAUCACACUUUGGGAGACUGAAGCGGGCAGAUCAUGACGUCAGGAGUUUGAGACCAGCCUGGCCAACAUGGUGAAACCCCAUCUUUACUAAAAAUACAAAAAUUAGCUGGGUGUGGUGGCAGGCACCUGUAAUCCCAACUACUCAGUAGGCUGAGGCAGGAGAAUCACUUGAAACUGGAAGGCGGAGACGGAAGUGAGCCAAGAUCAUUCCACUGCACUCCAGCCUGGGCAAAAGAGCGAAAUUCCAUCUCAAAAAAACAGAAAACAAAACAAAACAAAAAGAAUCUCUCACAUCUUUGACGCAGCAACAAUUGAUCCUAUGCUUUCACAUUUGACUCCAAUAGGAAUGAAGAAACAGCAGGAAAUAAUUUCAGAGUUGAAUGACAUCAUUAUUCACUUUUCAAAAAAUCUGUAUUUUUUUCAAGAAAUAUACUUUGAAUGUAAUUAUAAUUCUGCAAAAAACCUUCUGAUCCUCUGAAAGUUACAUACAAAUAAUUUUUCUGCCAACUUUAGUUUUAGAUUUCCUAUACUCAGCACUGAUUUAGAAUACGUGAAGUGUGUCAGUGCCUUAUAUAUUUCUACCAUAAAUUCUGAUAUUUGCAUAGACUUAAUUAUGGAUUAAAUAUUUUUUUACAUGUACUGCAUCUGCAAAAGCAUACUCCAGUAUGAACUCUCUGUUGUUUUCUAAGCUGUAGUUUUUGAAAAAGUGUUUUUCCAAAUUUAUUACAUUUGCACAAUUUUUCCCCGAUGGAACUUUGUUCCACAGAAGGAAUCUCAGAUAAUACUUUUUAAAAGCCAACCCCAGACAUGGAUUUGUACCAUCAAAUACCUGAGUUGGGUGAAUUUAUCUCCUCUUGAGGCUCCAAGAUAAACCUGGGGUUCCUGAGUUUGUCAGAAAGUGACCUUCAGGAUUUCUGACCUGUGUCUCACUGUGUCCCACAAGCUGCAGUGCAGUGGC
rnacentral:lncRNA from 10 species